rnacentral:snoRNA from 1 species
CUAAAAUGGAUACCCUGCCAGGUCACUCUCUCUGGGCUCUGUUUGAUUGGUGGAAGAGAACAAAAAACUCUGUCCCGUGAUGUACAGUCCCUUUCAACAAUACUGAAGGGGAAGCUGUGCUUUGAGUCUGUGCCUGCAUUUUCCUACACCUUCUGAGAGACCUGUGGCCAAUGACUGAGGAGAAAAGUCUUGAAGGAAACAGUC